UUUAGGUGUCACAGAAACCAAUAAUAUCGAUUUUGGUAUCGGAAACAAACCAAGCAGCUAACGGCUGUUGGAUUUCAUUUGUUUAUUAGUUUUCCUUACUUCCAGUUGGAUAUUUUAUAAAAAUAGCCGGGAUAGAGUGCAUCGACGGCUCGAAUUUUUAUGUCACCAUCACACAUCUAAAUAAAAAUGUACAUGCAUAUAUAUAAAUCAAGGCAAUGUACGAGUAAAAUGAAGAUUCAUGAUUACUUACAAUCAGGGCAUUCAUACUGAAUUAUUUUCGAUUAUAAAAUAAAUGUUCGUCAAUACUGGG